rnacentral:rRNA from 1 species
AAAUGAAUAGACGGGGGCCCGCACAAGCAGUGGAGUAUGUGGUUUAAUUCGAAGCAACGCGAAGAACCUUACCAGGGCUUGACAUGCAUACGGAUGUCGUGGAAACACGGCAGUCCUUCGGGACGUAUGCACAGGUGGUGCAUGGUUGUCGUCAGCUCGUGUCGUGAGAUGUUGGGUUAAGUCCCGCAACGAGCGCAACCCCUGUUGUUAGUUGCCAUCAUUAAGUUGGGCACUCUAACGAGACUGCCGGUGACAAAUCGGAGGAAGGUGGGGACGACGUCAAAUCAUCAUGCCCCUUAUGUCCUGGGCUACACACGUACUACAAUGGCUGCUACAGAGGGACGCGAAGGAGCAAUCCGGAGCAAAUCCCCAAAAGCAGUCCCAGUUCGGAUUGUGGGCUGCAACUCGCCCACAUGAAGUCGGAAUUGCUAGUAAUGGCAGGUCAGCAUACUGCCGUGAAUACGUUCCCGGGCCUUGUACACACCGCCCGU